CUUUCAACUUCAACCUUAUUUAGAAUUAUGUAAUAUUAAAAAAUACAGAUUCAACCUUACCAGGUUACGAGUAUCCUCUCAUAGAUUGAGAAUAGAAAGUGGCAGAUGGUCUAAGCCCAACCCAACACCUGUUGAGCAAAGGACAUGUAUUGUUUGUAAUCGUCUAGAAGACGAAUAUCAUUUUGUGAUUGAAUGCAAAUUAUAUACAGAUUUAAGAGUUAAAUAUAUACCUUCAUAUUACAGAAACCGACCAAAUAUGCAAAAAUUUAUAGAAUUGAUGUCUUCCGAUAAUGAAUCUGUAUUAAGAAAACUGAGUGCUUUUGUCCAUGCCGCAUUUUUAGUUAGAUCUGCGAACAUGUAUGUGCCCUUUUGAUGUAUCUUUGCCCAUAAACUAGUUGAAAUAUUUAAAAUGCUGCUGUUCCUGAUUUUGUAUGUGAAUGCAUAAUGAGUGUUUUUGUGCGUUCUUGUUUACGCCUUAUAAGUUUUGUUUGUGGAGUCAGUGUUUAUUACAAAUAACGCAUUAUGUACUGAUUAGUAUGAGAACUCCUCUUAAAUUAAACGUAUUUCAUGUUUGUCAUCUAUCUAUGUAUGCUGCCGACUAUGUGACGUGGCUGUACACUCAGAAUUUUGCGUGAGUUCUUGUUUUACUCUCUUUAGGUUUUGUUAUGUAGAGUACUUGAACGAUAACAUUAAUGCAAUAUGUAUUGAUAAGUAUGAGUACUCCUCUUAAACAUUAUUAUUACGGUUAAUAUGUAUUUCUUGCUGUAAAAUACUUAUUGACACUACUUAUGAAAUUAUUAUAAUUUCAUGUGCUUGAAUUAAUUAUGUACAUAUGUUUAUUACUGUAAAUAUUAUAUUGUUUGUACAAAAAUGUGUCCACAUGGGCCAUUGGCCUUCUGGAAAUGAUGUAAAUAAAAUCUGAAUCUGAAAUCUAUAACUAGCCUACGUAUGUGGCCUUAUAUUAAGAACACUAACUUGGAAUACAUAUUUCAGACCUAGGCACAGCCUGUACUACGACCACUGAUUGCGACACGGUAACUACAACUGAUGCUGUAUGCGACCUAAAUGCUGCAUCCGAGAUUUGCGCAAUUGGGUUUGACGGUAAUUGUAGCGGUGACAAGAGUACAAAGUGCCCCACUUCUGCUACCUGCGUGAGCAACAAGUGCGCAUGCAGCACGGGCUACACUUCCACCACCACCAAACUUUGCAGCAAAUCCGGAGCUGAAGGGUUGGUGAACGUGAUGUCGAUCCUCCUGAUGUUGACCAGCCUCCUCGUGAUGAAGACCUUCUGAAACUGAAUGAUGUACCAUAGAAAACCCGAAACGGUUGCAUUGUGGUACAGAUUUGUUUAACGAGACAAUUAUUUAAGGUUGAGGAAAUUCCUUCACGGGAAAAUUUUCCCUUGUUUUGUUUUCUUGCUUUUUAGGUGAUUGUCUUAUUUUAACAGUUGAUAUAUUCAUGUAUUGAAAACACAUUGUAUAACAUUAUUCGCGAUCGUAUUAAAUGUAUUGAAACUAAAUAUGGCUAGAUAUAUUUACUAACAUGUGUUGAGUUUAGACCUUUAAAGUGAUUGUUAUGAACAUGGUAAUACACUACAAAAACGCAAAGAAAUAAAAUCGCUAACAUUUAAAAUAUUUUUACUUGAAGCUGUUGGUGGUUUUAAUUAACAAAUCCGCUUCGAAUGUGUGCAAACGUAAUAGCAUGCCAUUAUUUACAACUAUUUACAUGAAGAAAAAUAUACUUAAAAUGCAACUAAU